UACAGAGGCCUCGAGCGUUAGGCGGAAUCACUGGGCUUAAAGCGUGUGUAGGCGGAUUGGUAAGUACCUUGUGAAAUCCCACAGCUUAACUGUGGAACUGCUCGGUAUACUGCUGAUCUUGAGCCACUCAGGGGCUACCGGAACAAAUGGUGGAGCGGUGAAAUGCGUAGAUAUCAGGAGGAACACCCGUGGCGAAAGCGGCUCUCUGGGACGGUACUGACGCUGAGACGCGAAAGCGUGGGGAGCAAACAGG
rnacentral:rRNA from 1 species